UGAGGGGAGGGGGUGCGGGGGAUGAAAUGAAACAGAAGAAUAAAGCAAAAAAAAAAAAAGAACAGGAGCAAGAGAGAGAAAGAGAGAGAGAAUGCUGUCUGGGGAGGAAUAAAGAGGCAUCUGAAUGCAGAAUUUGAUAAAAAGGGAAGGAGGUGAGGAAAGAAAAGACGGUGAAGGAAUUGCAGACAAACGACAAAGCUGAGAGGAGGAUGGGAGCAGCAGGGGUGAGCGGUGAAGAAUCCCAAUGAAGGAUGGAAGGAGCAGAUGAAAGAGUGGCUGGAGGAGGAGGAAGAGAAGAAGAAGAAGAAACCUGGAGCUGGUGGAGCAAUAGCCAAAACUCUGGUGCGUUUCAGAUUGGCACCUUUUUGGCUUUUUUGUUUGUUUGUUGGCAGAAAUUUAUUAAAACGUGUCUUCUUAGACCGAACGCGUACAUUUUAUUCAUAUACACAAAUGUCCCACCUUUUAACAAUGGUCAUGAACGCCUCUUGAUCGCUCCCACUCUCUCUCUUUCUCUCUCUCAUUCGCACACGGCGCAGCCUCUCCCGCCGAUUGCUUUCACAUGACUGCGUUUCUGUGAUUAAGACUAACCUGAUGGACAAAAAGCGUGAUUGUGCGCUCCGCGCUCGUGCGCUGCACCUCAGGCUCAGAGGGCGGUAACACAAAGCUGUGCUCAGAGGUGCGACACGUUCACAUGUGCAUACUAAUAACGCUGUUUUGUGUUGCUCAGACAUGUUUUUUUGGCUAAUGUGUAAACCGGGUGGCAGUGGAGAGCUUUAUUUCUUUUUUCGUUGAAGGCCUCCAGUGAUGUAGCCUUGUUUUCUGUGUAACCGGCAGUGUCAUAUCUGGACCUUAACGCAUUUCUCAGCUGUGUUUUGUAUCAGUAUAAUGAUAACUUUCAUACUUAAGUGUCACAUUCGUCACUUUGUUAAACAUAUGAUGAUGUUUUUAUAACAUGGAUUGUAUUUGACUGUAUCAGAGUUGAUUUUUAAAGCUGAAAUGAAGGCCAAACACUUCAUUCCUGUUUUUUUUUUUUUUGGUUGAUUUUUUUUUUUCUCUUUCAUGC